rnacentral:rRNA from 1 species
GACGAACGCUGGCGGCAUGCCUAACACAUGCAAGUCGAACGAGACCUUCGGGUCUAGUGGCGCACGGGUGCGUAACGCGUGGGAACCUGCCCUUAGGUUCGGAAUAACUCAGAGAAAUUUGAGCUAAUACCGGAUAAUGUCUUCGGACCAAAGAUUUAUCGCCUUUGGAUGGGCCCGCGUAGGAUUAGCUUGUUGGUGGGGUAAUGGCCUACCAAGGCGACGAUCCUUAGCUGGUCUGAGAGGAUGAUCAGCCACACUGGGACUGAGACACGGCCCAGACUCCUACGGGAGGCAGCAGUGGGGAAUAUUGGACAAUGGGCGAAAGCCUGAUCCAGCAAUGCCGCGUGAGUGAUGAAGGCCUUAGGGUUGUAAAGCUCUUUUACCAGGGAUGAUAAUGACAGUACCUGGAGAAUAAGCUCCGGCUAACUCCGUG